GUGGGGAAUAUUGGACAAUGGGCGCAAGCCUGAUCCAGUCAUGCCGCGUGAGUGAUGAAGGCCUUAGGGUUGUAAAGCUCUUUCAGUAGGGAAGAUAAUGACGGUACCUACAGAAGAAGCCCCGGCUAACUUCGUGCCAGCAGCCGCGGUAAUACGAAGGGGGCUAGCGUUGUUCGGAUUUACUGGGCGUAAAGCGCACGUAGGCGGAUUGGUCAGUUAGAGGUGAAAUCCCGAAGCUCAACUUCGGAACUGCCUUUAAUACUGCCAGUCUCGAGUCCGGAAGAGGUGAGUGGAACUCCUAGUGUAGAGGUGGAAUUCGUAGAUAUUAGGAAGAACACCAGUGGCGAAGGCGGCUCACUGGUCCGGUACUGACGCUGAGGUGCGAAAGCGUGGGGAGCAAACAGGAUUAGAAACCCGAGUAGUCC
rnacentral:rRNA from 1 species